GACGAACGCUGGCGGCGUGCUUAACACAUGCAAGUCGAACGGAAAGGCCCUGCUUUUGUGGGGUGCUCGAGUGGCGAACGGGUGAGUAACACGUGAGUAACCUGCCCUUGACUUUGGGAUAACUUCAGGAAACUGGGGCUAAUACCGGAUAGGAGCUCCUGCUGCAUGGUGGGGGUUGGAAAGUUUCGGCGGUUGGGGAUGGACUCGCGGCUCAUCAGCUUGUUGGUGGGGUAGUGGCUUACCAAGGCUUUGACGGGUAGCCGGCCUGAGAGGGUGACCGGCCACAUUGGGACUGGGAUACGGCCCAGACUCCUACGGGAGGCAGCAGUGGGGAAUAUUGCACAAUGGGCGGAAGCCUGAUGCAGCAACGCCGCGUGCGGGAUGACGGCCUUCGGGUUGUAAACCGCUUUCGCCUGUGACGAAGCGUGAGUGACGGUAAUGGGUAAAGAAGCACCGGCUAACUACGUG
rnacentral:rRNA from 1 species